rnacentral:lncRNA from 1 species
CUUCCCUGUGCCCUGUUCUUUUAGGAAUUCAAAGGGAAUAACAAUAAAUUCCAGGGACUAGAGUUGAGGGACCAUUGAAAGAGUUACAAAGGAGAUUAAGGACAUUCAAAUUCCAACCUCAGUUUAACACAGUGUCUGGUUCUUCUCUUCUCUCUCUUUCUUUCUUUCUUUCUUUCCACAGAUCUAUAAAUGAGGCUGGCCUUGAACUCCCACCUUCCCUACCCAAGUGGUAGGAUUCCUGGCUAGUCACCACCUUGCCUGACUUUAAAUUUUUUUUCUUUUUUGAACUAUCAGCUUUAUUGAGACACAACUGCUUUUGCUAGGUGGUUGUUUCAUUUUUAUUAAUUGAGAAAGAAUUUCUGUGUAGUCUUGGUUGGCCUAGAACUUGCUCUAUGAAAAAGACUGGUCUUGAACUUACAACAAUUCUUCCUCUGUCUCCAAAGAUACUCCUUACAGAUCAUAAGUCCCACCCCUUAUUAGGCAAAUUUCAGGGCUGCUUGAAUCUUUGCAGCGACUCUUUUUUGUUUUUCUUUUGGUUUUUGAGACAGGAUUUCUCUGGCUGUCCUAGAACUCAGAGACCAACCUACCUCUGCCUCCUGAGUACUGGGAUUAAAGGCGUGCACCACUACUGCCCAGCUGUUCCUGGCAACUCUUAACCACUCACAUUUUAGGGCAUUUAGAGACUGAAAAAAAAAGUCUUAGUGGCAGUCUCUCCACAGUCUCCAAGGCAACCACAAAUCUGCCUUAUGUCUCCAAGACUUUACUCUUGUGGUCAUUCCAUAUAAAUAUCAUUACACAAGAUGUUCUUUAGCUCUAGGUUCCAGUGGUCCAGAUCCCUAGAUUCUGACCCUGAAGUCCCUGUUUUAGUUGCCUCCAGCACCAUCACUCUUCCAGACGGAGACCACAGUGACCUCAUGACCCUUCCCUUGUCCCUGCCCUGCUUUCCAGCUUUCUCUUGCAAUGCCGGAGAGUUUUUGGAUAUGAAGGACCAGUCCUGCAAGCCCUGUGCAGAGGGCCGCUACUCGCUUGGCACUGGCAUCCGGUUUGAUGAGUGGGAUGAGCUGCCUCAUGGCUUUGCCAGCCUCUCAGCCAACUUGGAAGUCGAUGACAGCAUCUCUGAGUCCACGGAGAAUUGCACUUCGUCCAAGUGGGUUCCCCGGGGAGACUACAUCGCUUCCAACACGGAUGAAUGCACAGCCACUCUGAUGUAUGCCGUCAACCUAAAGCAGUCUGGCACAGUUAACUUUGAGUACUACUACCCGGACUCAAGCAUCAUCUUUGAGUUUUUUGUAAGCUCCUAGCUGGGGGCAUAAG